rnacentral:rRNA from 1 species
UACGUAGGGUGCGAGCGUUAAUCGGAAUUACUGGGCGUAGAGUGUGCGCAGGCGGCAGAGCAAGUCGAGUGUGAAAGCCCCGGGCUUAACUUGGGAAUUGCGCUCGAAACUACUUUGCUGGAGUGUGGCAGAGGAAGGUGGAAUUCCACGUGUAGCGGUGAAAUGCGUAGAGAUGUGGAGGAACACCAAUGGCGAAGGCAGCCUUCUGGGCCAACACUGACGCUCAUGCACGAAAGCGUGGGGAGCAAACAGG